CAGCAGCCGCGGGAAUACGGAGGGUGCAAGCGUUAAUCGGAAUUACUGGGCGUAAAGCGCACGCAGGCGGUCUGACAAGUCAGAUGUGAAAUCCCCGGGCUUAACCUGGGAACUGCAUUUGAAACUGUCAGGCUGGAGUCUUGUAGAGGGGGGUGGAAUUCCAGGUGUAGCGGUGAAAUGCGUAGAGAUCUGGAGGAAUACCGGUGGCGAAGGCGGCCCCCUGGACAAAGACUGACGCUCAGGUGCGAAAGCGUGGGGAGCAAACAGGAUUAGAUACCCCGGUAGUCCCUGUCUCUUAUAU
rnacentral:rRNA from 1 species